rnacentral:tRNA from 1 species
UAGCUUUGUAGCUUAAUGAAAGCAUUGGACUUUUAAUUCAAAGAUACGUUGUUGUUAAAGCUAU